AAAAGGUGGCUAUACUACCGCUUUUGGAUGGGCCCGCGGCGCAUUAGUUAGUUGGUAGGGUAAAGGCUUACCAAGGCAAUGAUGCGUAGCCGAAUUGAGAGGUUGAUCGGCCACAUUGGGACUGAGACACGGCCCAAACUCCUACGGGAGGCAGCAGUAGGGAAUCUUCCACAAUGGGCGAAAGCCUGAUGGAGCAACGCCGCGUGGGUGAAGAAGGUCUUCGGAUCGUAAAACCCUGUUGUUAGAGAAGAAAGUGCGUGAGAGUAACUGUUCACGUUUCGACGGUAUCUAACCAGAAAGCCACGGCUAACUACGUGCCAGCAGCCGCGGUAAUACGUAGGUGGCAAGCGUUAUCCGGAUUUAUUGGGCGUAAAGGGAACGCAGGCGGUCUUUUAAGUCUGAUGUGAAAGCCUUCGGCUUAACCGGAGUAGUGCAUUGGAAACUGGGAGACUUGAGUGCAGAAGAGGAGAGUGGAACUCCAUGUGUAGCGGUGAAAUGCGUAGAUAUAUGGAAGAACACCAGUGGCGAAAGCGGCUCUCUGGUCUGUAACUGACGCUGAGGUUCGAAAGCGUGGGUAGCAAACAGGAUUAGAUACCCUGGUAGUCCACGCCGUAAACGAUGAAUGCUAAGUGUUGGAGGGUUUCCGCCCU
rnacentral:rRNA from 1 species